rnacentral:rRNA from 1 species
CCUACGGGAGGCUGCAGUGGGGGAUAUUGCACACUGGGGGGAACCCUGAUGCAGCGACGCCGCGUGGGUGAAGAAGCGCCUCGGCGCGUAAAGCCCUGUCAGCAGGGAAGAAAAUGACGGUACCUGAAGAAGAAGCCCCGGCUAACUACGUGCCAGCAGCCGCGGUAAUACGUAGGGGGCAAGCGUUAUCCGGAUUUACUGGGUGGAAAGGGGGCGCAGACGGCGAUGCAAGCCAGGAGUGAAAGCCCGGGGCCCAACCCCGGGUCUGCUCUUGGAACUGCGUGGCUGGAGUGCAGGAGGGGCAGGCGGAAUUCCUGGUGUAGCGGUGAAAUGCGUAGAUAUCAGGAGGAACACCGGUGGCGAAGGCGGCCUGCUGGACUGCAACUGACGUUGAGGCCCGAAAGCGUGGGGAGCAAACAGGAUUAGAUACCCCUGUAGUC